rnacentral:lncRNA from 1 species
AAGGUUGUGACUUCUGUUUUAAUAUAUAAGAUUUUUCUGUUAAUUUAGCCGUGUUCGGUUCUCAUUUCGGUUCAUGUUUUUCAAAUCUAGAGAUCGGAAUCAUUUGUAUAUAUGAACAUCGGUUUGGUUUUGGUUUUUCUGUUCUAUUCUGUAUUGGUUUUCAGUUCUCGUCAAGUUUCCCCAGGCCUACUACUAACAAUACAUUAAACCAUAACAACAGUAAUGCUAAUGUACAUAUGUACUUUCAGGUAUCUAAACGAGAUAUUCGUGUGGUGGCACCGAUUACCUCGCCGAGUAAACUUUCUAAAGAACUUCUGGUCGAACACAACCAACGAAAGAAACAUCAAGAACAGCCUCUUCGCUGCUGAGCCGCCUCAGCUCUAUGCGGUCCACUACUUGGGAUGGAAACCAUGGCUUUGCUAUAGAGACUACGACUGCAACUUCGACGUGGAGCAGCAUGUGUACGCUAGCGACGCGGCUCACGCUAGAUGGUGGAAAGUGCACGAUGCUAUGGACGAAGAUUUGCAAAGGUUUUGUAGGCUGACCAAGAAGAGGAGGACAGAACUUAACUGGGAGAGGAGGAGAUCGAGGCGUAGAGGUUCAACUGACUUCCAUUGGAGGAUCAAUGUUACUGAUCCAAGACGACGCCGUUCUUAUUUGAUAGGGUAAAUUUUUGUCGUCUGUGUAUAUAGAUGUAACUAGGUGUUUUGCCCGCACUUGCGGGCUUAAUAAUUUUAUAAAAUUUUAUAAAGAAAUAUAUUAUCAAUUCAAAAAAUUUGAAUAAGUUAUUUUCAUGGAAUUAUAUUUUAGAAAUCUAUCCGAAAUCUGAGAUUGAUGGGUCAAAGAGACCUCUAGUAAAUAGUAACUAAGACCAUUUAGUCAUAGUUAACUAUAUUUAAAAGAAACUAGAUCUCGAUCCGCGCAACCGCGCGGGUGUUUGUUUCCAUUUUUUUAUAUAAACAUUUUGUUUACAAUUCUAAAUUGAAAUAUAUUAUAAUAUAUAUAAAGUGUGUUUAUCACUUUUUAAAUCAUAAUAAUUUUACCAUAUAUGUUUUUUAUUGAAUAAAUUGUUUUAAACUGUCACAUACGUCACUUUUUUUUUGGAUUGUUAUUUCAUUAUAUAACUCGUAAUUUUAUAUAAAGAUUGGUAAAUAUUUUUUUAUUGUUAUCUCGAAAAUAUUGUAAUAUUUUGAAGUAUGAUUCUUAGCAUCGUUAUUUAUAGAUGGUUGAAUAGUUAGGGUAUUGUAGAGAGUAUAUUCUUUAAAAUCUAUAAUUAAUAGACAUUAAAUAGUACGAUAUUAUGUAUUGGUUGUUAUGGAAAAUAUAGUAGAUUUGUUGAGUAGUUAACGGCAAUUAGUGAAAUCUAACACAUAUGUUUGAUAUAUAUCGUUAGAAUAUUAGAAGUUGCAAGCCUCAAGCAAGAAAUCUAGAAAAAUCGUAUCUAUUGAGAUAUUUUGCUCCUAUAUACUUGCUUUUCAAGUUAAAAGAUAUUACAACUAAUUUGAUUUUAUGAUUAUACUUGCUUUUCGAGAAAAAUAUAUUUUUGACUUUGAUCACAAAUUUUGUAGCUGUUUCAAAACUACCGAUUAGUAUAGGUUUAUUUAGAAGAAAAAAAUGAAUUUUAUCACAAAACUUAUAGAUGGUUUUAAAUCUAGUAUUGAUAAGGAUUAAGAUAUGUAUAAUGUUGGUUUAACUGGUUAACCGGCAGUAUAGUCACAUUAAAACCAAAAAAAUAAAUAUAUAAUUUGAAUCAAACUUACGAUUGAUAUGGAUUUAUAAUGAAGAAAAUAUUAAUUUCGAAUUAGAUCACACAACUUGUAAGUGGUUUGAAAAUUAGAAUGAGUAAGGAUUAAGAUAUGUUUAAUGUUGGUAUAAUUGGUUAACCGGUAGUAUAGACACACCAAAACCAAAAUAUGAAAAUAAUUCUAAUCAAACCAUAUUGCAAACUCACGUGCUUAACCAAAAUAUAAAUGAUAAUUUAAUUUAAAGAUAAAUUAUGGUGGUUAUGUAAACCGUAAUUAAAAGGGUACGGUUUUGUGUCAAAUCCUCAUUCGUUUGUGAUGAACGAUAGAUCCAAAUUAGAGAUCACAACUUCUUAUCUGUUAGAAGGUCGUGACACCAUAAGGAGUUCAUUUUAAGAUAACAGAGAUUUUUAAAAAAUUAAGGUGAUUCAUUUUAAUAAUGGUUCUGUAUAUAUUUAUUAGGUGAUAUAAUAUUUCUGUUAUAAUAUUUUCUUAAGGUGAUGAACUAUGGUCAUUAGAGAGCACGACAAGUUCAUAUGUGCUACAUAGUUUUGACAUAGUUAGGAGUUCACUCAUGAUAUGAUGACAUAUUUUAAUUUCUUUUAUGUGAUACGUGUAUCAUUUCAUAAAUUGAGCUGUGUAUCAUUUCAUAAAUUGAGCUGAUAUAUAGGAUAGAGUUGUUAUGAUAUUCGAUUGAUAUUAUAUUAAAUGAUCCAUUAAUGAUUAAGAAAUGUUAUUAAGAAAUAAAUGAAACAUCUAAAGGGUCCAUUUUUUAAAAUAUCACACAUGAAUCAAGGUUGUGACUUCUGUUUUAAUAUAUAAGAUUUUUCUGUUAAUUUAGCCGUGUUCGGUUCUCAUUUCGGUUCAUGUUUUUCAAAUCUAGAGAUCGGAAUCAUUUGUAUAUAUGAACAUCGGUUUGGUUUUGGUUUUUCUGUUCUAUUCUGUAUUGGUUUUCAGUUCUCGUCAAGUUUCCCCAGGCCUACUACUAACAAUACAUUAAACCAUAACAACAGUAAUGCUAAUGUACAUAUGUACUUUCAGGUAUCUAAACGAGAUAUUCGUGUGGUGGCACCGAUUACCUCGCCGAGUAAACUUUCUAAAGAACUUCUGGUCGAACACAACCAACGAAAGAAACAUCAAGAACAGCCUCUUCACUGCUGAGCCGCCUCAGCUCUAUGCAGUCCACUACUUGGGAUGGAAACC